rnacentral:rRNA from 1 species
GAUGAACGCUGGCGGCGUGCCUAAUACAUGCAAGUCGAGCGAACAGAUGAGGAGCUUGCUCCUCUGACGUUAGCGGCGGACGGGUGAGUAACACGUGGAUAACCUACCUAUAAGACUGGGAUAACUUCGGGAAACCGGAGCUAAUACCGGAUAAUUUAUUGAACCGCAUGGUUCAAUAGUGAAAGACGGUUUUGCUGUCACUUAUAGAUGGAUCCGCGCCGCAUUAGCUAGUUGGUAAGGUAACGGCUUACCAAGGCAACGAUGCGUAGCCGACCUGAGAGGGUGAUCGGCCACACUGGAACUGAGACACGGUCCAGACUCCUACGGGAGGCAGCAGUAGGGAAUCUUCCGCAAUGGGCGAAAGCCUGACGGAGCAACGCCGCGUGAGUGAUGAAGGUCUUCGGAUCGUAAAACUCUGUUAUUAGGGAAGAACAAAUGUGUAAGUAACUAUGCACGUAUUGACGGUAACUAAUCAGAAAGCCACGGCUAACUACGUG